AUUGAACGCUGGCGGCAUGCCUUACACAUGCAAGUCGAACGGUAACAGGUCUUCGGAUGCUGACGAGUGGCGAACGGGUGAGUAAUACAUCGGAACGUGCCCGAUCGUGGGGGAUAACGAAGCGAAAGCUUUGCUAAUACCGCAUAAGAUCUAAGGAUGAAAGCAGGGGACCGCAAGGCCUUGCGCGAACGGAGCGGCCGAUGGCAGAUUAGGUAGUUGGUGGGAUAAAAGCUUACCAAGCCGACGAUCUGUAGCUGGUCUGAGAGGACGACCAGCCACACUGGGACUGAGACACGGCCCAGACUCCUACGGGAGGCAGCAGUGGGGAAUUUUGGACAAUGGGCGAAAGCCUGAUCCAGCCAUGCCGCGUGCAGGAUGAAGGCCUUCGGGUUGUAAACUGCUUUUGUACGGAACGAAAAGACUCUUUCUAAUAAAGAGGGUCCAUGACGGUACCGUAAGAAUAAGCACCGGCUAACUACGUGCCAGCCGCCGCAGUAAGAC
rnacentral:rRNA from 1 species